AUCACAGCUCAUGGCUGUCUUGAACUCCUGGGCUCAAGCAAUCCUCUUGCCUCAGCCUCCUGAGUAGUUGAGACUACAGAUGCCUGUCAUCACAGCCAGCUGAUUAUUAUUGUUAUUUUAUAGAUGGAGUCUUGCUGUGUUGCCCAGGCUGAUCUCGAACUCCUUACCUCAAGGGAUCCUUCUGUGUAGCUGGGAUUACAAGUGCAAGACACAGCGUUAAGCUUGACACAUCUAUUCUAAAAAUAAAGCUUAUUGUGAAGAAUAAUGGGCAAGAUUAGCUAAGAAAAUUUAGAAAAGAUACAGAGGACCAACUAUACUUGUCGGACUCUGAAACUUCAACUUCUCAGCUCCACUUGAACCUCAGGCACAGAGAUGGAAUCUGAAGCGGACCAAAGGGUGGCUUCUUGGAGAUGGUGAGGCGUGGCCACAGGAGGAACAGGAUGCAUGACAGCUGCCUCCCACACAGAUAUACCGCAUCUAAGAAGAUGUCGCCACCCCCAUGAGAAAUAUCUACUGUAUGCUCAUGUUUGAAUGUGUGUAUAUAUAUAGGUUCAAUAUAUACAUAAGUUGCAAAGAACUGAAGCAGCAAAAUUAGAGAAUGCUCAAUAUUUCUGACAUGCUUGGAAUAACAAGAGAUGUAAAAGCAACUCAGAAUUAGAUUCCCCUUUUACGAAGCCAGAUAAUGUGGCUGAAUCACUGAAGGAUUUCAAUCUGAGGGCACAAAGUAGGAAGCAAAUUACUAUUUACUCUCUGGUAAGAAAAACAGAGUUAGACAAGGUCUGCCUUUGAAUCACAAUAGUUGUAUGUCUAAAUGGCGUUUCUUUCUGGCAGUUAGUAAUGGGACCUGGCAGUUAAUGAUGAUGAUGACAAACACUUAGGGAGCACUCACUAUGUGCCCAGCACAGGUCUAAGUACCUUCUAUAGUCCAACUCUUUUAAUCCUCAAAACAGCCCUAAGGCAGCUCUUAUUUCUAUUGCACAGAUGAGGACACUGAAGGACAUAUUAGGUACUUAGAGAAUAUUUUGUGAAUGGAAUUAAUAAGCAGAACUAUCAUCAAUCACUUUAUUUUUCUUUUGCUCUUAAUAACAAUU
rnacentral:lncRNA from 10 species